rnacentral:rRNA from 1 species
UACAGAGGGUGCGAGCGUUGUCCGGAAUCACUGGGCGUAAAGGGCGCGUAGGUGGCUUGGUAAGCGUGUGGUGAAAGCUCGGGGCUCAACCCCGAGUCUGCCGUGCGAACUGCCGAGCUUGAGCAGAGUAGAGGCAGGUGGAAUUUCGGGUGUAGCGGUGGAAUGCGUAGAGAUCCGAAAGAACACCGGUGGCGAAGGCGGCCUGCUGGGCUCUUGCUGACACUGAGGCGCGACAGCGUGGGGAGCAAAC